rnacentral:rRNA from 1 species
AGCAGCCGCGGUAAUUCCAGCUCCAAUAGCGUAUAUUAAAGUUGCUGCAGUUAAAAAGCUCGUAGUUGAAUUUCGGGACUAAUAUGUCGGUCGUGCCUCGGUACGUACUGGUAUUUUUGGUUUCUCCCUUCUGACGAACCUUUGAUGUCAUUAAUUUGGUGUCUCGGGAAAUCAGGACUGUUACUUUGAAAAAAUUGAGUGUUUAAAGCAGGCUCACGCUUGAAUACAUUAGCAUGGAAUAAUGAAAUAGGACGUUUGAUUCUAUUUUGUUGGUUUCUAGGAUCGACGUAAUGAUUAAUAGGGAUAGUUGGGGCAUUAGUAUUCAAUUGUCAGAGUGAAAUUCUUGGAUUUAUUGAAGACUAACUACUGACGAAAGCAUUUGACCAAGG